UGCCCGGUGGUCUAACGGCAGGACUCCUGAUUCUGGAUCAGGUAGGUGGAGGUUCGAAUCCUCCCUGGGCAGC
rnacentral:tRNA from 1 species